ACUUCUCUUAUAUUAAAUAUUACUACUAUAAUGCAACAAGCAUGAUAACAACAAUACUAAAGAAAUCCAUAAACAAUUAUUUACUAAAAGAGAAGACUUUUAUCUUCACAUCGCAUUAAUUUGGGAUCUAUGACGCAUUAUAAUAAUUUGGCGUCUUUCCAUACACAAUUCUUAUUAUUAUUUUCAACAUGAUAUUAAACAAUUCAUAAGCGUGUAAUUUCGUUUACCACAAAAAAAAAUGCAAAAUCGAAAAUAAAUGUCUGCCGUUGAUUUUUGACAUCCAAAUUGCAGCAAACAAAACUUGAAGGCGGACCCCACAAAAAAAAACAGAGACUGUAUGCUUCUGUUGUUGUGUUCUUUUCUUUAAUAAUACACUGAAAAUACUUUUUUAACUGCAUGGAUAUUAUAAAGCAUCAGUCACGACACGAUACCUCAUCAUGCUGCACUUUUCGGUGUUGUUGCCCCUCAUUGUGGCAUGAGAAAAUCUUUCAACGGCAAAUUGUAAAACAUUUUCGCCAAAGGUUUGAGCUAUAUUUCAGGGAAUAGAAACCUCAGCAGAAAUUAAAACAAAAAGCGAGAGAAAAUGGAAGAAGAAACGAAAUGAAUCACAAAGAAAAACGAAGUUAAUAAUGCGAAGCAACUGCUGCAUAAAUUAUCAAAACAAUCGGAAUAAAGUAAAAACAAAAUAAUGCCAGAGAAGAGAUGAAAUAAAAAUUGGAUGGAUCUUAGGAAUCUCAAAAAAAGAAAAACAAAAAACAAAUCAAUGACCUAUGCCCCCAGACUCUCGGCGACAAAGACUUUGUAAGACAUGCUUGUCGAUGUUGUUGUUGCUGUUGCUAUUGCUGUUGUUGUGUGGUGUUAUUUAUGUUGCUCGAUGCGGCCAUACUAAUUUCAAAUUUAAAUCUUUCUCUGUGACCUUUCA